UGUGGGCAUACUAUUUUAAUUGUGUAAGUGCCAAUUUUAGUUCAAACACAAAUGGACUAUGAACUUCAUUAAUCAUCAAAAUUAACCCCAUUCUCCUUGUGUUAAAACAAAAGACUUAAAACCUGUCGAUUACAAACUACUACAUGAAAACAAUUUCGUGCUAUAACAGAAAUGUGGAAAUUAUACAAAAUGAUCUAGUCAAGACUUCAAAAUUUUGAGGAAUGCCACUGACAGUCACUAAACAUAUUUGAGGGGAAGAGUCACCCAAGAAUGGGAAAGAGGAGCUGCAAGAGAGAAUCCUAUUAUGCAAGUAUGGGGUUGUGACUAGAAGGAGAAAGAACUGGGGUAGAAGAUCUCAACAACAAGAAAAAGCUUUGGGCUGUUGUGGGUAUUCUAGCCUAGGCCCCCAGGAUGCUGCUGUUCUUUCACAGAAGUGCCUCGGCCCUCCCUCAGCUGCCCUUUCUGCCCAUGGGAGCAGAUGGCUUUACUUUUCAUCACCAGCAAAGAACCUUGCACUUCAUGGAGUUCUACAUUGAUGGAGUAUUUCUAAAACAGCAUCUUACCAUGUUGAGAAAGUGCCCGGGCUACAUAAGCAAGCAAAUUCUUCACAUGUUUUUAAGUUGAUCGAACACAUACAAAACCAGGACAGUUUCAACUGAUAGAACCAAAGCUGCUUCAACAGGACUGGCCAAAAGGAAAACUUCCAAGUGGGUGAAGGGUGUCGACUUAAUGCAACAAGCAUUUGUUGAUCUAUCUCUCUCAUUAGGGGUUCUAGUUACUCAACAGAAGGAUUAGCUUUCCAGUGCAAUUAAAAACAGACACUCUGCAAGUAACUGGCUUGUACACUUUCCUCAAAUUACUCUCAGUCUAUGCAGAAAAAGAGGCAGAUAAAGUAAACACACAACCUAAAAGAGAUAUUAAAUAUGCGUGUGUUCUGGAGGACACCAUACCUGGAUACUGUUUUAUCAGCAAUGGGAUGGUUUGCCGAGAGUGUGGGUGAAAUUCUGGAGUGAGCUUUUAAAAGGUGAUAUUCAAAUAUGGCAUUAAGGGGCAUUAAAAACAGCAGCUGAACCUCUGUUUUGCCUGGUAUAUCUGAAGAAUGAUGGACUGUCCCCUGUGCUUGGAACAUGGAAAAACUGAAAACAUUUUCAUUGCACUGUCUGAAGUGCCUUUGUUUUUCUGAUAACCUUGGCCAAAAAAACAUAAUGUCAUAAAUCUUGCAAAAUAGAGAUUCCUCAGAAGCCUCCCGAAUUGCGUAACCUCAAGUAUUUUGUUUCAGAGUGGAAGCCUCAUGGUCUCAGCCUUACCACCAAGCCUAUGAACUUAGUCCUUUUGUUCCUCUUUGCUUAUUUAAAACAUCUAGAAUACUGUGACUAUCCUGUGCUGUGAGUGCCCCAGGGCUUUCAUUGUCUGGUAUCAAUCUCAGAGGCUUCUGGCUGC
rnacentral:lncRNA from 1 species